rnacentral:rRNA from 1 species
AUUGAACGCUGGCGGCAUGCUUUACACAUGCAAGUCGGACGAUUGGCGCACGGGUGAGUAACAUAUCGGACCGUACCGAGUAAUGGGGGAUAACUUAUCGAAAGAUUAGCUAAUACCGCAUAUUAUUCGAGCGGCCGAUAUCUGAUUAGCUGGUUGGUGGGGUAAAGGCCUACCAGGGCCACGAUCAGGAGCGGGUCUGAGCGGAUGAUCGGCAACACUGGGACUGAGACACGGCCCAGACUCCUACGGGAGGAAGAGUUGGGGAAUUUUGGACAAUGUGCGCAAGCCUGAUGCAGCAAUGCGGCGUGUCUGAAGAAGGCCUUCGGGUUGUAAAGGACUUUUGUCAGGGAAGCGGUACCUGAAGAAUAAGCACCGGCUAACUACGUGCCAGCAGCCGCGGUAAUUC